rnacentral:tRNA from 1 species
UGCAUCGGCCGGGAAUCGAACCCUGGCCGCCCGCGUGGCAGGCGAGCAUUCUACCACUGGACCACCGAUGC